GAUGAACGCUGACAGAAUGCUUAACACAUGCAAGUCUACUUGAAUUUGGGUUUUUUAACUUAGAUUUGGGUGGCGGACGGGUGAGUAACGCGUAAAGAACUUGCCUCACAGCUAGGGACAACAUUUGGAAACGAAUGCUAAUACCUGAUAUUAUGAUUAUAAGGCAUCUUAGAAUUAUGAAAGCUAUAUGCGCUGUGAGAGAGCUUUGCGUCCCAUUAGCUAGUUGGAGAGGUAACGGCUCACCAAGGCGAUGAUGGGUAGCCGGCCUGAGAGGGUGAACGGCCAAAAGGGGACUGAGACACGGCCCUUACUCCUACGGGAGGCAGCAGUGGGGAAUAUUGGACAAUGGACCAAGAGUCUGAUCCAGCAACUCUGUGUGCAAGAUGACGUUUUUCGGAAUGUAAAGUGCUUUCAGUUGGGAAGAAAAAAAUGACGGUACCAACAAAAGAAGGGACGGCUAAAUACGU
rnacentral:rRNA from 1 species